ACAGAGACCCAUUGAAUUUAAGCAUAUAAGUAGGUGGAGGAAGGGACACAAACUAGGCUUUCACAAGUAGUUGCGAAUGAAAGUGGGACUGCUCAACUUGAAAUUUGCCGGGGACUUGCCUUUGACAUGAAAUCUCUGAACAUGUUGUCAAUGGGGGUGCAUGUGUUAGUUGCUUUGAAAGAGGGGAUGCAAGUGUGUACAAGGGUGAGAAUCCUGCUUGUCACUUGCUGUGCCUCUGUGUACUGCACAAGUGUUUUAGACUCAUGCUCUUUGGAAGUGGAGUGUAAAGGGGGUGGUAGAUCUCACCCACAGGUGAUGACAACACUGAGACCGACAGUGAAGAAGUACCGUGAGGGAAGUGUGAAAAGUACUUUGGAAAGAGAACUAAAUGAGCCUACACUUGCUGAAUGGCAAGUACACAGGAAUGCACAUUUGGGAAAGGAUUGCUUGAAGUUCAUGACAUGUCUGUGUGUGUUGUGCAACAGCUGGAGUUUCCUUUUCAGGCAUGGCAGCGACAGUGGUGACUGUCAGUGUCUGUGUGCACUGCUUGUGGGGAGUCUCCUUUCGCAAAAUCUGCAGCUCACUGAACUUGCCAAAACUGUGUAAGGCACUGUGGUGAAUGUGUGGCAAGAGACUAGUGCAAUGCUGCCAGUAUGUUCUGUGUGACCCGUCUUGAAACACGGACUGAGGAGUCUAACACACAUGCAGGCUGGUGGGUGUGUGAGCCUGCUGCGCAACGAAAGUGCAGCCCCAGACAUGCCCAUGUGGGUCAACCAACCAGCAGGAUGAGGUUUGAGUCUCAGCACUCCUGUUAGGACCCGAAAGAUGGUGAACUAUGCCUGGCAAGGGCCAAGUCAGGGGAAACUCUGGUGGAGGAUCGCAGCGGUACUGACGUGCAAAUCGUUCGUCGUAUUUGGGUAUGGGGGCGAAAGACUAAUCGAACCAUC
rnacentral:rRNA from 1 species